rnacentral:rRNA from 1 species
CUACCCGGGUAUCUAAUCCUGUUUGCUCCCCAUGCUUUCGUACCUCAGUGUCAGUAUUAGGCCAGAUGGCUGCCUUCGCCAUCGGUAUUCCUCCAGAUCUCUACGCAUUUCACCGCUACACCUGGAAUUCUACCAUCCUCUCCCAUACUCUAGCCUUCCAGUAUCGAAUGCAAUUCCCAAGUUAAGCUCGGGGAUUUCACAUUUGACUUAAAAAGCCACCUACGCACGCUUUACGCCCAGUAAAUCCGAUUAACGCUCGCACCCUCUGUAUUACCGCGGCUGCUGGCAC